rnacentral:sRNA from 1 species
AUGGCUGUCGUCAGCUCGUGUCGUGAGAUGUUGGGUUAAGUCCCGUAACGAGCGCAACCCCUAUCCUUAUUUGCCAGCGGAUUAUGCCGGGAACUCUAAGGAGACUGCCGGUGACAAACCGGAGGAAGGCGGGGACGAGGUCAAGUCAUCAUGGCCCUCAUGGGGUGGGCUAGAAACGUGCUACAAUGGGAAGUACAAAGGGCUGCAAACCCGCGAGGGUAAGCGAAUCCCAAAAAACUUCUCGUAGUCCGGAUAGGAGUCUGCAACUCGACUCCUUGAAGUCGGAAUCGCUAGUAAUCGCGAAUCAGAAUGUCGCGGUGAAUACGUUCCCGGGCCUUGUACACACCGCCCGUCACACCACGAAAGUCAGCAACACCCGAAGUCAGUUGCCUAACUCUUAGGAGAAGGAGCUGCCGAAGGUGGGGUCGGCGAUUGGGGUGAAGUCGUAACAAGGUAGCCGUACCGGAAGGUGCGGCUGGAUCACCUCCUUUCUAAGGAGUACAUACCAUCGUCGUUGUCGGCCAUUACGUGUCGACCGGUGAUGGUUACUCUCAGUUAGCGCACUGGUUAGUUGGUCACGUUUCCAGGCUCGAGAUACUCGAGUCAUGGCAACGGUGACGUUCCGUUCUCUAUCCCGUUUUGAGGGAGCGCUACGCGCUCGUCCUCAGUGGUCCGAUCCCACCUCCGUUACGCACCAGUUGCGUUCCGGUGGUGCCAUCGGGCCACAGGCCACGGCCGAUGGUGAACUUCCCACCCGGGAAGGCUCGCAACGCCGUAGCUGGCCCCAGGGCCGGCAGAUGCCUCUUGAGAACUGCACAGCGAACACGAGCAUCUUCAUCAAUUGUCGAUGUAUUUGUAAUUUCCAAGCUACUAAGAGCCAACGGUGAAUGCCUUGGCGACUACUACCGAAGAAGGACGUGGGUGGCUGCGAAAAGCCACGGUGAGCUGUCUACCGAGCUUUGACCCGUGGAUGUCCGAAUGGGGAAACCCGG